rnacentral:lncRNA from 1 species
AAGCCGUAUUCGAUUUUGAAUAGCCGGUUGUUUUCGCACAAUCCUAAAUUAAUUUGCCGUAAUUUAUAAAAUGUUGUACUAUUUUCAAUGAAUGUUUUUACUUUCCAACUAUUAGGCUCGUAACUUCAGCACCAGUUCAUCAUCCCAGCAGUUGGUGAAGGCUCCAGUCCAAGUUUUUGGGUUGUAUGGUCGCUAUGCCUCAGCACUCUACUCUGCUGCUUCCAAACAGAAAUCUUUGGACAAAGUUGAAAGCGAGUUGAAGGACUUUCAUGCAACUAUCGCCAAAGAUUCUCGUUUGGCAGAAUUCAUUGCCAACCCCACUUUGAAGAGAUCACUUAAGAAAGAUGCUCUUAUUUCAGUUGCCAAGAAAUUGAAAAUGAGUGCUGUUACAGGCAACUUCCUUGAACUCCUUGCUGAGAAUGGAAGACUUAACAAAUUGGAUGUUGUCACUGGCCAUUUCUUUAACAUGAUGGCUGCAUUCAGAGGUUAAGUUGUAUGUGAGGUCACCUCAGCCAAGGCCUUGGAUGCUGCUACAUUGAAAGAGGUUACUGCCGCUCUUUCUGGAUUCUUGCAGAAGCCAGAAAGGACAGUCUCAAGAUUUCAACCAAGGUGGAUCCCUCCAUUGUUGGUGGACUUGUAGUUGUCCUUGGAGAUCGCUACAUCGACAUGAGUUUGGCAUCAAAGAUUGAACGUUACACCACUCUCCUUAAACAACCCGUCUAGAAAUUUAAGUUGGCUGCGUUAUAGUGGGAAACAAAUAUGUACAUCAAAUGGCAAAGAUAUGAUGUAGUGGAUAUGAAAAAUAAAAGAAAUCGUAUCACGAGGUUCUCCUUGUAUGCAAACAAAA